ACGGAGGCAUGUACAUAAAAGAAAAGAUGGAAAUCACUUGGAAAGGGAAGUUUGAUCAAGUUUAUAUAUCUAAUAGAAAGAGGGUUGAACCCAAAAGAAAUUUGGGGUUAUAAAGUUUGUGAACCCAAAAGAUUACAAGAAACCAAACUUGUUGGAGCGAGAAGUCAAGAUUUUUCUCUUAACGAUGUCAGCAAAGGUGCACCCUGGAUACAGGUUCUUGGCUAUUAUCAAUCGAAAAACCGGCCUCGAGAAUCACGUUCUAGAGCGUUGAAGCUCGAUUUAGAAUCCGUUAGAUGGCAUGUCGUCGUGUCGAUCUGUUUGCUUAAACAGGUUACACAUGUCAACCCAAACACGGCCCGUUUAUUAAACGAGUUAGAUAUGAGAACCCAAACCUAAUUAUUUCCGUCUCAUGUGUCGGGUCAUGUUAGAAAUUCUCACCCCUACUGAAUUCAUUGUAGCCGGAAGCAACUAAAAGGCACGGAAAAUAUAUUGGCAAGUGCAUGAAGCUGCUGCAAACAAUCUUGACUGUUGAUGAUCUCAACUACCCGGAGAAGACCAUCACAUACUAUACAGUUAACGUUCCAUACGUAUUUUCUGCUUGUUGGAAGGUUGUGAAACCACUGUUGCAGGAGCGAACAAGCCGCAGUGUUUUUCUAACGAGGAGUUCGUGAUUCGCAGCUGAUCCGAUUAUCCGGUUACACAAAAGAGGUUACAUUUAUUCAGUGCUUUUCCGCCUUCGCUCUUUUGGUUAUGCUAUCAAUCCACAUAUGUUCGAAUGCGGUGAAGUUCGCUUAAACCUUAGCCACC